UUUGGCGCUCUUUUCACCAGGCACAAAACAAACCCAGCCGGAGAAACUUGACUGGGCCUAAUAUGGAGCCUGCCUCAGCUGCUUCCAUCGAGAGGGAGAAGUGUGUCUCUGAACAAAGGAAUAUGUCAAACAGCUGGCCAUGGAUUUUCUGCAAGAGCCACUACUAUUCCAUCCACCUUACUUGGAGGACUGGGAUUAAGGCCUACCCUAUCUGCAAUAUACAAGAUGGCCCAGCGGUUAAAGAUGCUGAACUUGUCAAUUGGACAGCAGUUUGAUACCCAAGUGCCACGUGACGGGGUGAGCUCCUGUUACUUGCCCCUACUCCUGCCCACCUAGCAGUUUGAAAGCAUGCAAAUGCGAGUAGAUAAAUAGGUACCACCUCAGUGGGAAGGUAACGGUAUUCCGUGCACCUUAGCGUACAGUCCUUUUGGCUCCGGAGAUGAGCAUUGGCCUCUUAGAGUCGGAAACGACUGGAAAGGGUACCUUUACCUGAGAAUUGGUGUGCCAUUUUGUGGCUCCCAAAGUCAUCUGUGAAUUCUUAGGAUAUACAAUUUCCAAAUUUCCUCUUCCACUGAUAAAGCAAAAUCUUUUUCAUCGCAGGUAAAAAUACAAAACUGCAACUUAAAGGAUCUCUAUAGAAUUAUAAUUAAAGUCGAAACAGUAACCUAAAAAUAAUCCUCCCAGCCUUAUACAACAAAUCAGAUGGAGGUGUUUAAAAACAAUUAAAAAAAACAACCAGCAUCAAAAAUGCAAUUACAUUGUUGGUCUGUUAAUCAAAAACAGAGCUUUUCUCCCCCCCCCUCUUUCUACAAAGCUUAAUAUUUUCAGUUUUGAAAAAGCCAUUCAGAGACAUCAUCUUGCUCUCUUCUAAGGAGCAAUUAUGUUUUAGAAAUUGAGACAGUUGAAGAUAAGCAAUCUUUGCGCUAGAUAUAUACAUCCCAAACAGUAGGAGAGUUUUCUUCGUGUAAUGAAUCCUGUAUCUUUGAUAUCAGCUGGGUAUCCACAGAGAUGCUAUUAAGACACACCAGCUCUUGUUUCUUCACCUUCCUAAUUGCCUGGGUUUGGGGUAGCCAUUUGUUCCCUGCAGAAGAAGGAAAAGAGGUAAUUUGAGCCAGGGUACCUUCUUCAGAAAGUACCUUCUUUAUGAAACUUGGACCAUAAGGAAGGCUGAGCUCCAAAGAAUUGAGGUCUUCCUGAACUAUGAUGCUGGAGAAGACUCCUGCGAGUCCCUUGGACUGCAAGGUGAUCAAACCGGUCAGUCCUGGAGGACAUCAACCCUGACUGCUCUUUAGAAGGCCAGAUCCUGAAGAGGAAACUCAAAUACUUUGGCCACCUAAUGAGAAGGAAGGACUCGCUGGAGAAGAACCUAAUGCUGGGAACGAUUGAGGGCAAAAGAAGAAGGGGAUGGCAGAGAAUGAGGUGGCUGAAUGGAGUCACUGAAGCAGUAGGCGUGAGCUUAAAUGGACUCCAGAGGAUUGUAGAGGAGAGGAAGGCCUGGAGCAACAUGGGGUCGUGAUGAUUCUACAGAUUUGCUAGAUAAUAGAAAGUAUUCUUUUCUAUAGUACAUUUGGAAUGAUUUACAGGAAGGGGUGAUAACCAAGUUAGAGUACCAUGUUUGGUAAAAUGGACAGCUCAACGGAAGCUGGAAAGUUGAUGCCACACCUGGGAGGCAAAGUUGCUAUUCUUCCUUUCUAGAACCCUUGAUAGGGAAGAGUACAGGUAGCUCUCAACUUACAAGCAUUCGUUUAGUGACUAUUCAAAGUUAUAACAGAGCUGAAAAAAAAAAGUGACUUAUAACCGUUUUACACUCAACCACUGCAGCAUCCCCAUCACCCUCUUUCACUGUAUGGCACUGAAUGCUGGGCAGCAACAACAGGGACUGAAAGCCAUCUCCAUCAGUGAUAUUAGAGAUUGAAACGACUCCUAAAAAUUUGAAGACUUCAUUUGCUCAAUCUGAUUGCUGUUGAUUUUCCCCUGAGGAAGGACUUUAAUGCACCAUUUUGUGAAUAAAACCAUUCCCCUCCUCCCUCACAUCCAGAUAUUCACGUCCCUGCAGUUUUCCUGGCAGGAUUUCAUAACUGGCUUGCCCUUGUCUUCUUCCAGGGACUGGGAGAGAGUGACUGGCCCAAGGUUACCCAGCUGGCUUUGAGCCUAAGCAGGACUAGAAACUCACAGACUGAACUCACAGUCUCCUUGGAACAGUAACAGAGUUGGAAGGGACCUUGGAAGUCAUCUAGUCCAACCCUCUGCUGACGCAGGAGAUCUGUACUAGGGAUUUGAACCACCAAACUGCGACCUUUCUGAUUGACAAGCUCAGUGUCUUAGCCACUGAGUUUCUCGCCUGGUGCCUUAAUUCCUACCCCAAACUGGCUUUCUACUUUUCUCUUACUAUAAUUAAUUUCUACUUUUUCUUCUCUACAAUAAGCAUCUAUGGUUUAUAAACUCCCUUGAAGACCAACUAGUACUGGGGACAGGAUGACUGCAUUAACCACUCAAAACAAAAUAAAUAUUGAAUUUUUUUGCUAGCAUUAGGGGAUGAUUUUCCUUUCCCCCCCCUUAAGGACUAAAUUAGGGAGUUGAUAUAAAGAUUAAAUAAAAGGUGGGGAAGAGUGCAAUUUUGUUCAAUUCCCCUUAUAGUGGGGCUCGACUGGAGUCUGAAAGAUCUUUACCCAUUGUCUUUCUGACUUCCAUGGUAUGUUUAAAUUGUUUAAACUGCACUUGGUACAUUUAAACGUUGGUUAAAAGUAGCUCAUUACAUCGGAUCAAUUUCCAAUGGCUAACAUAACGCUCCUUAAAUUAUCCAAUAUGUCUCCUUGUCAAUUUUUCCAGACAGA